AAAGUCGUAACAAGGUUUCCGUAGGUGAACCUGCGGAAGGAUCAUUAACAAAUUCCAAAACUCGUGUUUGGUCAUGGUGUGUGUGUGAGUGUGUAUCUAGUAGUGAUACUUUAUACAUACGCAUAUAUAUUGCCAUGAUCAGUUAACAACACAAAAACAACAAUACACUUAAUUUCGACAACCAAUGGAGAACCAAAGAAUCGUUAAUCGAAUACAACUUUUAACAAUGGAUCUCUCGGCUCUU
rnacentral:misc_RNA from 1 species